rnacentral:rRNA from 1 species
AGCAGCCGCGGUAAUUCCAGCUCCAAUAGCGUAUAUUAAAGUUGUUGCAGUUAAAAAGCUCGUAGUUGAAUUUCGGGGUCAGUAGGUUGGUCAUGCCACUGGUAUGUACUGGUCUCACUGAUUCCUCCUUCCUGAUGAACUGUAAUGCCAUUAAUUUGGUGUUGCAGGGAAUCUGGACUGUUACUUUGAAAAAAUUAGAGUGUUUAAAGCAGGCUAACGCCUGAAUACAUUAGCAUGGAAUAAUGAAAUAGGACGUUCGAUCCUAUUUUGUUGGUUUCUAGGAUUGACGUAAUGAUUAAUAGGGAUAGUUGGGGGCAUUAGUAUUCAAUUGUCAGAGGUGAAAUUCUUGGAUUUAUUGAAGACUAACUACUGCGAAAGCA